CCCGGGGUGGUGGAAUGGCAGACACGUCCGACUCAAAAUCGGAUGGCCGUGAGGUCGUGCGGGUUCGACUCCCGCCCCCGGGACCA
rnacentral:tRNA from 1 species